CUUGCUCUCUGGGUGACGAGCGGCGGACGGGUGAGUAAUGUCUGGGAAACUGCCUGAUGGAGGGGGAUAACUACUGGAAACGGUAGCUAAUACCGCAUAACGUCUUCGGACCAAAGUGGGGGACCUUCGGGCCUCACGCCAUCAGAUGUGCCCAGAUGGGAUUAGCUAGUAGGUGGGGUAAUGGCUCACCUAGGCGACGAUCCCUAGCUGGUCUGAGAGGAUGACCAGCCACACUGGAACUGAGACACGGUCCAGACUCCUACGGGAGGCAGCAGUGGGGAAUAUUGCACAAUGGGCGCAAGCCUGAUGCAGCCAUGCCGCGUGUGUGAAGAAGGCCUUCGGGUUGUAAAGCACUUUCAGCGAGGAGGAAGGGUGGUGUGUUAAUAGCGCAUCACAUUGAACGUUACUCGCAGAAAAAAGCACCGGCUAAACUCCGUGCCAGC
rnacentral:rRNA from 1 species